rnacentral:miRNA from 1 species
CUUAUAAAUAGGGACAGAGGGAGU